AAGGUGCAAUCGGGAUGGAUUGUGCAAACCUUGGGAUUUCACUUUCAAAUAAAUCUGCUGCUUCAGCACCACCAUUAGCUGACAAUGCAAAGAAUCAAGCUAGCUCAAUGGUACAAGUAAACUCUCCUACAUUGGUGAUCCUGAUGCUGUUUGCUGCUAUGCUUCAUUGGAAAUAGAGAAUUAGUUGUUCCAGGCUGUUUUUCGCACCAUACCUUUGAACCCGUGGGUGAUUGCUGCGGUAUUUAUUUGAUAUCGGUUGACAUAUUUAGUUAGCUCUCAUGUUUGGAUAUAGAUUUUCCGGUCAGAUGAAUAAGUUACUACACUCAUUUUUCACACAUAGAUAGAGUGAAGAAGAUUUUUGUUUGUUUUGUACAUAAUUGAUAACCCUGCUGCGGACUACUGGAAUAAGAGACAUGAGUUCAUGUUUACA